ACAGAAAAAUAUAAAUUAGCACAUUUUUUUAGUGUAGUUUUUGAGGAAAUGAGUGUCGGCUCUGGGUUUUUCUGACCAACUGAGAAAAACCUUUGUACUCACAGAACUAACUGACACCAUAAUUCCAUUACUUAGACUGAAGAUUUAAGCUCGAUACUCUCUCCACCCAACACUGUCACAGAAACAGACUUCUUAACGAUUGUUAGUUACAUUGUGUUUCUUCACCACCUUAUAAGCCUUCACCACCUUCAAUUGCCUUUCAUUAACAAACCUUCUUCAGUGUUCCUUCACCUGUUUUCCUCAACCCAUUCUCCAUCUCAGAAUGGAGGGUGGGAACAUAAGACAGUGGUUGAACUUUCUGGUUUGUGCACUGCUGUUUCUGAUAGCAGAGGCUUCUUAUGUGCCAAUCACCUAUCUUCAGAACGCUGUAGCAAAAGGAGCUGUUUGUUUGGAUGGGAGUCCACCAGCUUACCAUUUUGAUAGGGGAUCUGGAACAGGGAUUAACAAUUGGUUGGUUGCUUUUGAGGGAGGAGGAUGGUGCAACAAUGUCACUACUUGUCUCUCUCGCAAGACCAAUCGUUUAGGUUCAUCUAAGCAAAUGGCAAAGCAAAUUGCCUUUUCGGGAAUUAUGAGCAACAUGCAAAUCUUUAAUCCAGAUUUCUACAACUGGAACAGAAUCAAGGUUAGGUAUUGCGAUGGUUCAUCUUUUACUGGUGAUGUAGAAGAAGUCAAUCCAGUUACUAAGUUGCACUUUAGAGGAGCAAGGAUUUUUGCUGCUGUCAUGGAGGAUUUACUAGCAAAAGGAAUGGAAAAUGCUCGAAAUGCAAUUAUUUCUGGAUGUUCAGCUGGAGGAUUAACUUCAGUACUGCAUUGUGAUCGCUUCCGAGCUCUAUUACCUGGAGGAGCCAGAGUGAAAUGCCUCUCAGAUGCUGGUUAUUUUAUCAAUGCAAGGGAUGUCACUGGGGCAUACCACAUUCAACAGUACUUCAGUCAAGUUGUUACUACACAUGGCUCUGCAAGGAAUUUGCCUCAGUCAUGCACUUCAAGACUUAGCCCAAAGCUAUGCUUUUUCCCACAAUAUUUGGCGUCACAUAUCACUACGCCGAUCUUCUUUGUAAACGCGGCAUACGACUCAUGGCAGAUUAAGAACAUUUUGGCACCUGGUGUUGCUGAUCCUGAAGGCCAUUGGCAUAGCUGUAAGCUGGAUAUAAACAACUGCUCACCUGAUCAAUUAGAUCUAAUGCAAGGCUUCAGGACAGAAUUUUUAAGGGCAUUGACAGUGCUAGGCAACUCUUCAUAUAAAGGAAUGUUUAUAGACUCUUGCUAUGCCCACUGCCAAACUGAAAUGCAGGAGACAUGGUUGAGAAGUGACUCUCCAGAGCUGGAAAAGACAACAAUUGCAAAGGCUGUAGCAGACUGGUUUUAUGAAAGAAGGACAUUCCAUCAGAUAGAUUGCCCUUACCCCUGCAACCCCACUUGUCACAACCGCGUUUUCGGACCAGAAGACGACCACCAAGGAAAAAAUGUGACCUCGAAAGGAACGUCAGAUGCAUCAGCCAGAAAGCUCAAUUUUCCGAAACUAACAAACAAGGCACAAUGGAUUGAGCUUGUGUGCAUUAAUGGAGGAAUCAAUGGGCUUCUACUAACGUUGGGUCUUAUGAGGAAGCAGGAAAAAGCCAAUCCCAUUGGAUUGAACAAUUUUGUGGCCUUGUACAGACUGCAAUAAAUUCCAGACACAGCUUCAUAAUUGGAUUCAGUCAGAGUAAGCUUGAACUUACUGCAAUUGCUUGGCCUAAAUAAUUAUUUUCUGCCUUAUUUUUGGGAGAGAGGAUGUUCUGGUGUUUCUGUUUGACUUCUUUUUCUGUGCCAUCUAUUAUGAGAAACAUUUAUGCAUCUUUUGUUUAAGGUGAAACAGUUGGAGGAAGGGCGUUUUGGUAGGAUGAAAAAGAAAUGAAAGUUCAAAACUUUGGUGGGCUAACUUUCACUCAAAAAGAGAAGAAAACUUGAAAAAUUAGGUGGAUCAUAAUUGAUUAUACGAACAACAUGCAUCUUUAUUUUCAAAUGCUGUGUCAAUUCACGCGAACUGGCUAAGUUCAAGGUGCAUAAAGCCUGCUGGUGAAGCUGCAAUUGUAAUACUGACAGCAUAUAUCAUAGUAUCUUGUUUUACUAAUCUGUUACUCCAACAGGUGUGAAGAAGUUCCAUUGGCUCAGCAUCUUGCACCUACUAGACACUUUGUUUUGUUUUGUUUCUUUCUGUAGUAUUUGCUCAUUAUAGUUUUGAAGGCUCAACUUGUCAAAGGAAUACAAAAUAAAAUAAAAAUAUCAUAUGAUCAUUUACAUAUCUCUGUAGGUGACAUCAUCAUUGUUAGAUUUUCUAUGAGGCUUUAAGAUGAGAGCUCCACUGGCCACUAAUGGGUUAUCAACA